UCCUUGCUGGUCCAGUGGCUAAGACGCUGCACUCACAAUGCAGGGGGCCCAGGUUCGAUCCCUGGACAGGAAA